rnacentral:lncRNA from 1 species
UUUUGCUUGUACAACCCAUGUGAUCGACAAACUGGAAAAUGCAGUGGUGGAUGCGCUCGUGGAGUACAAGGUUUCAAUUGCACACAAGGUUAGUUUUUUCAUUUAUCUGUUUGUCUGUCUGUUCUGUAUGUUUCUCUCUCUCUCUCUUUGUUUUUUGAGUCAGUUGAUAAUUUUUUAAACAAGAAUAACGAGUUGAUUUCCAUCUUUUUUUAAAAUGAACAUUUGGCAAAAUAAAGUAGAUGUUGUUGCGCCUUUCAAAUAACUAUGUAAGAGUUCAAAUCUAUAACAUGUUCUUUUCAGAAUCAUUUGAAUAAGAUUUUGUGCAUUAUAUCCGGAAAUCCGAAAAAAUGUCUAUCAUUACCUCAUUCUGUACGUGUGUCCAAGGUCCGGUUACUGUUAUUCAGUGGUUGCGUUAGUUUCUUUAUUCCACAGACGUUAUGCUUUAUUGUUUUGUAAACAUGAGGAGAAGUGGUAUUUUAUCCAACAAUCCACCAAAAGUUAAAUGAAUCGGAUAUUAGAUAUUUUAUACAGCCGUAUCGCCUUCAGCAAUGAUAAAACCAUAUGGCGUGUGGUCGGAUACAUAAGGUUCCGACGGGAAUAUGUCAAUUAUUCUGAACGUUCUGGUUUCGUUUGAAUCGGUUUACAUUCUAGCAUGUUAGUAUGUUUGUAGAUUGCUAUGCAGUAUUUAACGAAGAUAAUUGUCAAUAAAUUUUGUAACGAAAAGGUAUAAAAUUUGAAGAAAAAAAAAAUCGACUUUAUUAAAUUUCAAAAACAAGUGUAUCAAACUAACAGCAACAUCAAACGUUAAUAAUCAACGGAAUGAGUGGAAAACGAUUGCCAAAGAACUGACUUGGAAAGGGUUUCCCGAGGCAAAUAAUGGGUUUAACUUAAUUUUAUAGCUAGCGAAAUUUCUCACUUUGAUGAAAGCUGUUUAUAUUUCUGCUAUAUUGAGAAAAAAAGUUGAACGACUCAAACGGAUUUUGUUUUUGUUUUUAAUAAAUUGAUAAACUGGACGGCAUGUGUGUGGACGUGGCUUGGACUCUGGUUAUAGCUAGCCAAACCUCCCACUUAUAUAAAAAAUGUCAAGAAAUAUCGCUAAAAUGACAACACUGCGUUACAGAAAUAUGGAACAAACACACACAAGUACACUCACCACAAUGAUACACACAACAAGUAAUUAAAUAUUCGACACAACAUACACACCACUGAACAACAACGAAAAUUUUCUAUACAAUUUAAGAAUUUUCAUUUUUAAUCUUUCCUCUUUAUAUUUCUUUUGGGGUUUGUUCUGCAUUAGGAGCAUAUCCUGUAUAUGAAGCCAUUAUAGUGUGAACAUGCACGAGCACAAUGUAUCAAUUAAGAUACUAACAUGCAAAUACAAUACGACAGAGCAGAGGGUAUAUUUCAGUUGAAAAAUGGGAAAUUGAUAAUUAGGAUGUUGAUAUCACCCCGUUUGUCAUAGAUUUUAGUGUAAAGUCGUCCAUCUGUGUCAAUAUCAAGGAAAAAAUCAAGGUGUGAAGCAAUCCUUCUUGUAAUAGUAGUAUCCUUAAUUUCUGAGAUUAUGAGAUGCAAGUACUGAAUGAAAUAUAGGUCAAUCAGUAGGACAUCACCAAUAUAUCUGAAAGUACAAUAAAAAAAGUGUUUUAUUUUUUAUUUUUGUCUAUUAGAAGGUUCUCAGAUACUGAGACACAAGCGAAACCAUCAAUUACAUAGUAUACCAAAGACAAUGGCUUGCACCUACGUUUUUUGUGACAUAUCUAUUUCUUUGUGCUUGUCUAAUCUCAAUAGAGUAAACCUCCCACUGUAUAUGACUUUGGCAUAUAAUACAAUGUUUGUCGUUUUCUAUAAGGAAUUAACAAAUGCAACACAAAGAAAUUUGAGGCAAAUUCUCCAGAUUUAAUAAAAUGCCUGCAAAACGAAAUGACAAAAUACAAAAAUAAUAAUCAACAUACACCGAUCUAGAAACAAUCAUAAUCCACCACUCAUACAGAACAUAUCUAUAGGGUCUUUAGAUCUAAAAUACUACAUGCAGAUGUAUAUUUUUUUGGGUAAAACCUAUGAAUGCUUGUAAUAUUUGACUCUAUCAGGAUAUCUAGAAUGUUAUUUAUUUAACUUUGUUUCCUUUCAGUUUCUUUUAAUAAAGAUUCACCAGUAUUACUGACUUACAUUGGUCUCUCUUUUGGAUGUCUCGUGUCGGGUGUGCUGUUGACAGCUGUCGUAUGUGUUGUAGUUAUCAAAAAGCGAAAAAUACAAGG